AAGAGAUAAAAAGCUAGAUUUCCGUAUCAACUACGUUGAUUGUCCGUCUUAUAUAAAAUCUUUUAUAAUUAGUAUUUUUAUUGCUGUUAGAUGCUAAACAUGAUUAAUAUUUUAUGCGUGACUUAUUUUUUUAAUUUUUUUUAUAAUAUUUUUAAAUAAGACGGACGGUUAAACAUUAAGAUACGAAAACUUAGGCUUAUC
rnacentral:pre_miRNA from 1 species